AUUGAACGCUGGCGGCAUGCCUUACACAUGCAAGUCGAACGGCAGCACGGGAGCAAUCCUGGUGGCGAGUGGCGAACGGGUGAGUAAUAUAUCGGAACGUGCCCAGUCGUGGGGGAUAACGAAGCGAAAGCUGUGCUAAUACCGCAUACGAUCUACGGAUGAAAGCGGGGGAUCGCAAGACCUCGCGCGCUUGGAGAGGCGGAUAUCAGAUUAGCUAGUUGGUGGGGUAAAGGCCCACCAAGGCGACGAUCUGUAGCUGGUCUGAGAGGACGACCAGACACACUGGAACUGAGACACGGUCCAGACUCCUACGGGAGGCAGCAGUGGGGAAUUUUGGACAAUGGGCGCAAGCCUGAUCCAGCAAUGCCGCGUGCAGGAUGAAGGCCUUCGGGUUGUAAACUGCUUUUGUACGGAACGAAACGGCCCUUUCUAAUACAGGGGGCUAAUGACGGUACCGUAAGAAUAAGCACCGGCUAACUACGUGCCAGCCGCCGCGGUAA
rnacentral:rRNA from 1 species